rnacentral:rRNA from 1 species
AGAACGAACGCUGGCGGCGUGGAUAAGACAUGCAAGUCGAACGGGUUUAGUUUCGGAGCAAUUCGGAAUUUAGGCCAGUGGCGAACGGGUGCGUAACACGUGAGUCAUCUGCCUGAAAGUGGGGGAUAGCUCGCCGAAAGGCGAAUUAAUACCGCAUGUGGUUGUAAGACCAAAGCCGGGACAACCUGGCGCUUUUAGAGGAACUCGCGGCCUAUCAGCUUGUUGGUGAGGUAACGGCUUACCAAGGCUUCGACGGGUAGCUGGUCUGAGAGGACGACCAGCCACACUGGAACUGAGACACGGUCCAGACACCUACGGGUGGCAGCAGUCGAGAAUUUUUCUCAAUGGGGGAAACCCUGAAGGAGCGACGCCGCGUGGAGGAUGAAUGCUUUCGGGUUGUAAACUCCUGUCAUUUGGGAACAAAGCCUUACGUUAACUGCGUGGAGGUCUGAUAGUACCGAAAGAGGAAGAGACGGCUAACUCUGCGCCAGCAGCCGCGGU